rnacentral:rRNA from 1 species
AAGUCGUAACAAGGUCUCCGUUGGUGAACCAGCGGAGGGAUCAUUACCGAGUUUACAACUCCCAAACCCCUGUGAACAUACCUUAAUGUUGCCUCGGCGGAUCAGCCCGCGCCCGGUAAAACGGGACGGCCCGCCAGAGGAUCCAAACUCUUGCUGUUAUUGUAACUUCUGAGUUUAAACAAACAAAUGAAUCAAAACUUUCAACAACGGAUCUCUUGGUUCUCGGCAUCGAUGAAGAACGCAGCAGAAAUGCGAUAUGUAAUGUGAAUUGCAGAAUUCAGUGAAUCAUCGAAUCUUUGAACGCACAUUGCGCCCGCCAGUAUCCUGGGAGGCAUGCCUGUCCGAGCGUCGUUUCAACCCUCGAGCCCCUGUGGCCCGGCGUUGGGGAUCUGCCACGGCAGGCCCCUAAAACCAGUGGCGGACCCGAAGGGCCCUCUCCUUUGCGCAGUAGCAUUCGCCUCGCAUCGGGAGUCCUCGGCGUCCUGCCUCUAAACCCCCACAAGCCCGCUUCGGCGGCACCAAGGUUGACCUCGGAUCAGGUAGGAAUACCCGCUGAACUUAA